rnacentral:rRNA from 1 species
ACACAUGCAAGUCGAGCGGUAACAGAUGCGCAUGCUUGCUAGCGCAUGCUGACGAGCGGCGGACGGGUGAGUAAUGCAUAGGAAUCUGCCCGAUAGUGGGGGAUAACCUGGGGAAACCCAGGCUAAUACCGCAUACGUCCUACGGGAGAAAGGGGGCUCCGGCUCCCGCUAUGGGAUGAGCCUAUGUCGGAUUAGCUAGUUGGUGAGGUAACGGCUCACCAAGGCCACGAUCCGUAGCUGGUCUGAGAGGAUGAUCAGCCACAUCGGGACUGAGACACGGCCCGAACUCCUACGGGAGGCAGCAGUGGGGAAUAUUGGACAAUGGGGGCAACCCUGAUCCAGCCAUGCCGCGUGUGUGAAGAAGGCCCUCGGGUUGUAAAGCACUUUCAGCGAGGAAGAACGCCUGGCGGUUAAUACCCGCUAGGAAAGACAUCACUCGCAGAAGAAGCACCGGCUAACUCCGUGCCAGCAGCCGCGGUAAUACGGAGGGUGCAAGCGUUAAUCGGAAUUACUGGGCGUAAAGCGCGCGUAGGUGGCUUGAUAAGCCGGUUGUGAAAGCCCCGGGCUCAACCUGGGAACGGCAUCCGGAACUGUCAAGCUAGAGUGCAGGAGAGGAAGGUAGAAUUCCCGGUGUAGCGGUGAAAUGCGUAGAGAUCGGGAGGAAUACCAGUGGCGAAGGCGGCCUUCUGGACUGACACUGACACUGAGGUGCGAAAGCGUGGGUAGCAAACAGGAUUAGAUACCCUGGUAGUCCACGCCGUAAACGAUGUCGACCAGCCGUUGGGUGCCUAGCGCACUUU